rnacentral:rRNA from 1 species
GACGAACGCUGGCGGCGUGCUUAACACAUGCAAGUCGAACGGAAAGGCCCUGCUUUUGUGGGGUGCUCGAGUGGCGAACGGGUGAGUAACACGUGAGUAACCUGCCCUUGACUUUGGGAUAACUUCAGGAAACUGGGGCUCAUACCGGAUAGGAGCUCCUGCUGCAUGUUGGGGGUUGGAAGGUUUCGGCGGUUGGGGAUGGACUCGCGGCUUAUCAGCUUGUUUGUGUGGUAGUGGCUUACCAAGGCUUUGACGGGUAGCCGGCCUGAGAGGGUGACCGGCCACAUUGGGACUGAGAUACGGCCCAGACUCCUACGGGAGGCAGCAGUGGAGAAUAUUGCACAAUGGGCGGAAGCCUGAUGCAGCAACGCCGCGUGCGGGAUGACGGCCUUCGGGUUGUAAACCGCUUUGGCCUGUGACGAAGCGUGAGUGACGGUAAUGGGUAAAGAAGCACCGGCUAACUACGUG